rnacentral:rRNA from 1 species
AGCAGCCGCGGUAAUACGGAGGGUACAAGCGUUAAUCGGAAUUACUGGGCGUAAAGCGCGCGUAGGCGGUUAAGUAAGUUGGAUGUGAAAGCCCUGGGCUCAACCUAGGAACUGCAUUCAAAACUAUUUAACUAGAGUACGAGAGAGGAGAGUAGAAUUUCUGGUGUAGCGGUGAAAUGCGUAGAUAUCAGAAGGAAUACCAAUGGCGAAGGCAGCUCUCUGGAUCGUCACUGACGCUAAGGUGCGAAAGCGUGGGUAGCAAACAGGAUUAGAUACCCUGGUAGUCCACGCCGUAAACGAUGAGAACUAGCCGUUGGGGAGAAUUAACUCUUCAGUGGCGCAGCUAACGCAUUAAGUUCUCCGCCUGGGGACUACGGCCGCAAGGCUAAAACUCAAAUGAAUUGACGGGGGCCCGCACAAGCGGUGGAUCAUGUGGUUUAAUUCGAUGCAACGCGAAGAACCUUACCUACCCUUGAAAUCCAGCGAAGUUCCUAGAGAUAGGAAUGUGCCUUCGGGAACGCUGUGACAGGUGUUGCAUGGCUGUCGUCAGCUCGUGUCGUGAGAUGUAUGGUUAAGUCCAGUAACGAGCGCAACCCCUAUCCUUAUUUGCCAGCGCAUAAUGGCGGGAACUAUAAGGAGACUGCCGGUCAUAAACCGGAGGAAGGCGGGGACGACGUCAAGUCAUCAUGGCCCUUAUGGGUAGGGCUACACACGUGAUACAAUGGGUGGUACAGAGGGUCGCCAAAGCGCGAGCUGGAGCCAAACCCUUAAAACCAUUCUUAGUCCGGAUUGGAGUCUGCAACUCGACUCCAUGAAGUUGGAAUCGCUAGUAAUCGCGAAUCAGAAUGUCGCGGUGAAUACGUUCUCGGGCCUUGUACACACCGCCCG